AUGUCUCGCCCGCGCCCUGCACUGGCCUCGUCCGCCGACGCCCACGUCUCCUCGCUCCUCCUGCUCCUGCCUCCCCUCACCGUCUCCCCGCUCCGGCUCUCCCUCCCCGCGCUUUCCUUCCUAUGCUCACGCCGUCCGUCUCGCCAUCUUCCCCGCACGCCGCAACACCCCGAACCAAUAUAUGCGGCUUCCCGCAUAUCGUUCCCCCUUGUCAAGAUUCGUCAGCUCACCCUUGCCCGUGUCCUGUUCGAUGAAAUGCCGCAGUCUGGUGUUCGCCUGGGUGAGCAUGUUUACACGGCUGGGAAUCGGGCUACAGCGAGGCAGGGAAUCUCACGGCACGGAGAGGCUCGUGGCGAGGAUUGGGGGUCAAGGUCAGCAUGGUGUCGUAUGUACUGCUGUAUGGAUUCAGAUAAGGUCAGCAUGGUGUCGUAUGUAUCAACAUUCAACUUUGCAAAAGGUGGAUGA
rnacentral:rRNA from 1 species